rnacentral:rRNA from 1 species
CACUGUGUGUUGUUGGGUAGGGGAGCGUUCUGUAAGCCUGUGAAGGUGGCCUGUGAGGGUUGCUGGAGGUAUCAGAAGUGCGAAUGCUGACAUAAGUAACGAUAAAGCGGGUGAAAAGCCCGCUCGCCGGAAGACCAAGGGUUCCUGUCCAACGUUAAUCGGGGCAGGGUGAGUCGACCCCUAAGGCGAGGCCGAAAGGCGUAGUCGAUGGGAAACGGGUUAAUAUUCCCGUACUUGGUGUUACUGCGAAGGGGGGACGGAGAAGGCUAUGUUGGCCGGGCGACGGUUGUCCCGGUUUAAGCGUGUAGGUGUGUGUUCCAGGUAAAUCCGGUUCACUUUAACACUGAGGCGUGAUGACGAGGCACUACGGUGCUGAAGCAACAAAUGCCCUGCUUCCAGGAAAAGCCUCUAAGCAUCAGGUAACAUCAAAUCGUACCCCAAACCGACACAGGUGGUCAGGUAGAGAAUACCAAGGCGCUUGAGAGAACUCGGGUGAAGGAACUAGGCAAAAUGGUGCCGUAACUUCGGGAGAAGGCACGCUGACAUGUAGGUGAAGUGAUUUACUCAUGGAGCUGAAGUCAGUCGAAGAUACCAGCUGGCUGCAACUGUUUAUUAAAAACACAGCACUGUGCAAACACGAAAGUGGACGUAUACGGUGUGACGCCUGCCCGGUGCCGGAAGGUUAAUUGAUGGGGUCAGCGCAAGCGAAGCUCCUGAUCGAAGCCCCGGUAAACGGCGGCCGUAACUAUAACGGUCCUAAGGUAGCGAAAUUCCUUGUCGGGUAAGUUCCGACCUGCACGAAUGGCGUAAUGAUGGCCAGGCUGUCUCCACCCGAGACUCAGUGAAAUUGAACUCGCUGUGAAGAUGCAGUGUACCCGCGGCAAGACGGAAAGACCCCGUGAACCUUUACUAUAGCUUGACACUGAACAUUGAGCCUUGAUGUGUAGGAUAGGUGGGAGGCUUUGAAGUGUGGACGCCAGUCUGCAUGGAGCCGGCCUUGAAAUACCACCCUUUAAUGUUUGAUGUUCUAACGUGGACCCGUUACCCGGGUUGCGGACAGUGUCUGGUGGGUAGUUUGACUGGGGCGGUCUCCUCCUAAAGAGUAACGGAGGAGCACGAAGGUUGGCUAAUCCUGGUCGGACAUCAGGAGGUUAGUGCAAUGGCAUAAGCCAGCUUGACUGCGAGCGUGACGGCGCGAGCAGGUGCGAAAGCAGGUCAUAGUGAUCCGGUGGUUCUGAAUGGAAGGGCCAUCGCUCAACGGAUAAAAGGUACUCCGGGGAUAACAGGCUGAUACCGCCCAAGAGUUCAUAUCGACGGCGGUGUUUGGCACCUCGAUGUCGGCUCAUCACAUCCUGGGGCUGAAGUAGGUCCCAAGGGUAUGGCUGUUCGCCAUUUAAAGUGGUACGCGAGCUGGGUUUAGAACGUCGUGAGACAGUUCGGUCCCUAUCUGCCGUGGGCGCUGGAGAACUGAGGGGGGCUGCUCCUAGUACGAGAGGACCGGAGUGGACGCAUCACUGGUGUUCGGGUUGUCAUGCCAAUGGCACUGCCCGGUAGCUAAAUGCGGAAGAGAUAAGUGCUGAAAGCAUCUAAGCACGAAACUUGCCCCGAGAUGAGUUCUC